rnacentral:rRNA from 1 species
UUUGUAAGUUAGCGGCGGACGGGUGAGUAACACGUGGGCAACCUGCCCUUGAGACUGGGAUAACUUCGGGAAACCGGAGCUAAUACCGGAUAAUAUGAGGAACCUCCUGGUUCCUUAUUGAAAGAUGGUUUCGGCUAUCACUUAAGGAUGGGCCCGCGGCGCAUUAGCUAGUUGGUGAGGUAACGGCUCACCAAGGCGACGAUGCGUAGCCGACCUGAGAGGGUGAUCGGCCACACUGGGACUGAGACACGGCCCAGACUCCUACGGGAGGCAGCAGUAGGGAAUCUUCCACAAUGGACGAAAGUCUGAUGGAGCAACGCCGCGUGAGUGAUGAAGGCCUUCGGGUCGUAAAGCUCUGUUGUUAGGGAAGAACAAGUGCGAGAGUAACUGCUCGCACCUUGACGGUACCUAACCAGAAAGCCACGGCUAACUACGUGCCAGCAGCCGCGGUAAUACGUAGGUGGCAAGCGUUAUCCGGAAUUAUUGGGCGUAAAGCGCGCGCAGGUGGUUUCUUAAGUCUGAUGUGAAAGCCCACGGCUCAACCGUGGAGGGUCAUUGGAAACUGGGGAACUUGAGUGCAGAAGAGGAAAGUGGAAUUCCAAGUGUAGCGGUGAAAUGCGUAGAGAUUUGGAGGAACACCAGUGGCGAAGGCGACUUUCUGGUCUGUAACUGACACUGAGGCGCGAAAGCGUGGGGAGCA